CUCCCGACUGCCGACACCGCUUCAAGAAGUCGUCCACCGAUUCCAACGAAGCCUCGUUCUUCGCCAUUCACUCACUCUGUCACUCACACGAUGAUUCAGGCAAGCCAAGUGAUGAGGGUUCUCUUGUUCUUCUUCUGUAGAGGAACAGAGAGAGAGAGAGCGUAUGAAGAUAGAUAAAGAGCGAGACAAGGAGGAGAGUGGGCUUUGGAAUUUGGUUGUUUAUUGUUAAAAGAAAAAAAAGGCCAGGCGGCAAGGAGAAGGACCUAGGUAGCUGUACACUUUGUGGCAUUCUAGGAACCUCCGACAGUUCUGAUAUUAGCUUUGUUUAAAAGUAUGAACUUAUCCACUGUUGUGUAAUAAGUUUACUUUAACCACUUUGACUACUUUACUGUAGAUCCUGUUUGUACGGAGCCUCGGGAUCAAUUAAUCAUAAUCGUUCACCAUAGAUCGAACGGCUACGAUUCCACCAACCUCCUGUUCACUGCCUUCUCUCUUUCUUCUUUCAAUGCUUGUCUUCUAUUGUUCCCAAAUGGAACGAGUUCACGACAAAGGCAUGUUAUCAACUCGGCGUAAACUCAAUUGGCACAUGGAACAAGUUUGCGACAGAUGUGCUUCAGUGCAUGAUGAGCGAGCAGAUCGGAGACGACAUUUGUCGGGCAAAACCGUGGGGAAGAGAAAGGCGGUGGAUGUGACACUGCAUCCAUGGAUUUUGGAGGUCCUUCAGCUGCGACGGCACGCUUAGAUGCUGUGUUUUUUUUCACCAUUCAAUCUGUGUUGAAUGACCAGGAUCAAUGGAUCCCGAGGGUCCGCACAAACAGGAUCCAGAGAGGAUCUUCUUCCCCAUACGAGCCAUUAAGUUUUGUUAAUAGCUCUCAUGAGAAAUAAGUUUUGUUAAUAGCUUUCAUGAAAAAUAAACAACGGAGACGGAGUAAUGACAGAAGACAUUUAUGUUGUUAGACUUUGUUUCAACCAAUCUCAAGAUUGUUGCAAAUA